GCAAGGAAGAAUGUGCCCUUCUCCAGAAUUACCCUUGGAGGAAAAGCUGGAGGGAGGUUCCAACUCCCAAAUUGGUUUUUGAAAUGGGUGUCACUUGUAGCCUUUGUCAGACCCCAAGCCCUGAAUUGGAUUAAACAAGGCUCUGUGCAUGUAUGGAAAUUUUCGUGGUAACCAGAAAUAGCAAAUCCUAGAACCUAAGAACGAUCACAUGCUUUCGCCAUCUCACAUGGAGAGAGAAAUAUUUUCUCUUUCCUACUCUGCUAAGCAGCUGUGC